rnacentral:rRNA from 1 species
GAUGAACGCUAGCGGCAGGCUUAAUACAUGCAAGUCGAGGGGCAGCGCGGGUAGCAAUACCUGGCGGCGACCGGCAAACGGGUGCGGAACACGUACACAACCUUCCUUUUGGUGGGGGAUAGCCCAGAGAAAUUUGGAUUAAUACCCCAUAAUAUAUUUUGAUUGCAUAAUUGGAAUAUUAAAGAUUUAUUGCCAGAAGAUGGGUGUGCGUAUGAUUAGGUAGUUAGUUGAGGUAACGGCUCACCAAGCCUUCGAUCAUUAACUGGUGUGAGAGCACGACCAGUCACACGGGCACUGAGACACGGGCCCGACUCAUACGGGAGGCAGCAGUAAGGAAUAUUGGCCAAUGGACGCAAGUCUGAACCAGCCAUGCCGCGUGAAGGAUGACGGCCCUCUGGGUUGUAAACUUCUUUUAUCUGGGAAGAAAAGGCCCGUGCGCGGGACAUUGCCGGUACCAGAUGAAUAAGCACCGGCUAACUCCGUGCCAGCCGCCGCAGUAAGAC